rnacentral:lncRNA from 1 species
AGUCCUUCCUGAAGUCUGCCCUGCGUGGGGCCUGCUGCCAGAAGCCUGGGCCGGAGGGGAGGGGCGAGGACGAAGUAGCGAACCGUCCGCUGGCUGUCUUAGAAGGAUGAAAAGUGAAUUCUGAGCCUGGCUGUGGGAGUAAGAGAGAGGGCAUCGGGGAAGGGAGAGGGGGGCGGGAGAGACAGAGACAAGAGGUGGGAGAGACGACAGGAAGAAGAGACAAAGGUGGGGAGACUGAGGCAGAGGAGGGAGAGAGAGAGAGACAGAAUCCAGGAGGGACAGCUGAGAGAGUCAGAUGGAGCGACAGAGACAGAGAUGGGGGAGACAGAGACACGGAGAGACAGAGAUGAUGGAGACAGAGACUGGGAGAGACAGAGAUGAUGGAGACAGAGACUGGGAGAGACAGAGAUGAUGGAGACAGAGACAGGGAGAGACAGAGAUGAUGGAGACAGAGACUGGGAGAGACAGAGAUGAUGGAGACAGAGACAGGGAGAGACAGAGAUGAUAGAGACAGAUGGCAGAGACAGAGGUAGCGGAGAGAGACUAGGAGAGACAGAGGUGGCGGAGACAGAGACGGGGAGAGACAGCAGUGGUGGAGACUGAUGGGAGAGACAGAUGGAAGAAACAGAGAGGGGAUAUGAGAGACAGAGACAAAGGCAGAGAGAUCUACAGGGAGACAGAGACAGGAGAGAUAAACAUGGGAAAGAGAGAGACAGAGAGACCCAGCGAGUGGCAGAGAUAGGGGAGUCAGGAGCGACGCAAGGGUGUGGGAGAUGGAGUCAAAGUAGGGGGUCAGAGGUGCCGAGCUGGAGGCUGCGAAAUCUGCUUGCCCAGAAUGGCAGACAAGAUCUUGGAGACGAGACGGUUUUAGGUCUGCAGUCAACCAGCUCUAUUUUGUCUCACCAGCACUUCACAUCCGGCUUACUACCUCCGGGCACUAUUCUAAGUAUGUUACAAAUACGAACUCAUUUUAUCUUCACAAUAUUUUUGGUCCUGCCUGUGCAGAUCCCUUUUGGACAGUGAGGGAAACUGAGGCACAGAGCGGAGAAGCUGCUUGCUCAAGGUCAUCAUUUGAACCCAUGUCGGAGUUAUCGUUCCUCUGUGCUGUGCGCCCGUGGGAGAGGCAUUAACACUCAAAAUACGAAACUGCACAGAGUCAAGAAAACGCACUCGUGGACGGCCUGCGGACCACUAGUUUGAGACCCCAGCCUCAACAUGAGCAUCUGUGCAAAUAGACACGAACUGUCCUCCUCCCAGAAGUAGACCUGGGCAUCCUGACCCCAUGAACACAGGGACUUGCUGUCUCUCCCCAAACUGGAUUCAGGCAUCAUGGCUUUUGAACACAGGGCUGAUGAUCCUUCCCAGAAGAGAAUGCAGGCAUCUUGGCCCCAUAAAAAUAGGGGUCCUGGGCCGGGCUCAGUAGCUCACGGCCUGUAAUCCCAGAACUUUGGGAGGCCUAGGCCGGUGGAUCACCUGGGGUCAGGAGUUCAAGACCAGCCUGGCCAACAUGGCUAAACCCUGUCUCUAUUAAAAAUACAAAAAUUAGCCGGGCGUGGUGGUGCACACCUGUAGUCCCAGCUACUCAGGAGGCUGAGGGAGGAGAAUCGCUUGAACCUGGGAGGCAUAGGUUGCAGUGAGCCAAGAUCGCACCACUGCACUCAAGCAUGGGUGACAGGGCAAGCAAGACUCCAUCUCAAAAAAAAAAAAAAAGUAAAAAAAAAAAAAAUUAGCCAGGCAUGGUGGCACAUGCCUGUAGUCCCAGCUACUCGGGAGGCUGAGGCAGGAGAAUCGCUUGAACUGGGAGGAGGCUGAGGCAGGAGAAUCGCUUGAACUGGAAGGAGGCUGAGGCAGGAGAAUUGGGAGGCAUAGGUCGCAGUAAGCUGAGAUCAUGCCACUCUGCACUCCAGCCUGGGUGACAGAGUGAGACUGCGUCUCAAAAAAAAAAAAAAAAAAUAGGGGUCCAGGCCGGGUCCAGUGGUUCAUGCCUGUAAUCCCAGUACUUUGGGAGGCUGAGGUGGGAGGAUCAUUUGAGCCCAGGAGUUUAAGACCAGCCUGGGCAAAAUGGUGAAACCUCAUUUUUACUAAAAAUACAAAAAUUAGCUGGGCGUGGUGGCACAGGCCUGUAGUCCCAGCUAAUCAGGAGGCUGAGGCAGGAGGAUCACCAGAGCCUGGGAAGCGGAGGUUGCAGUGAGCCAAGAUCACACCGCUGCAUUCAAGCGUGGGUGAUAGAGUGAGACCCUGUUCUCAUAAAAGAGGCGGAGGGGUCCUUAGCUAGAGGUUUCCUUGCUUGGAUUCUCAGAGAGUCAACGGACUCCCACACUGGUAAUAGUAAUGACAAGUAACAUAUAUUAAACAUCCAUCAUGCCCCAGUACUUUUAUUGUUUAAUUUUUUUUUGUUUAUUUAUUUAUAAAACAGGGUCUUUUUAUUUUAUUUAUUUAUUUUUUUGAGACAGAGUCUCGCUCUGUCGCCCAGGCUGGAGUGCAGUGAUGGGAUCACAGCUGUCUGUGGUCUUGUCCUCCUGGGCUCCAGCCAUUCUCCUUCCUCAGCCUCCCAAGUAACUGGGUCCACAGGUGCACACCACCACGCCUGAUUAUUUUUUAAAUUUUUUGUAGAGACAGGGGUCUCACUAUGUUGCCUAGGUUGGUCUGGAACUCCUGGGCUCAAGCAAUCCUCCUGCCUCAGUUUCUCAGAAUGCUGGGAUUACAGGCAUGAGCCACUGUGUGCCUAGCCCAAUGUUUUAUUGUUAUUCACAUUCUGACUGCACAUCCUAUGAGGUAGGGACCUGUGCUGUCUCAACUCACAGAUGAGGAAACUGAGGCACAGAGCUGUGACCACUUCCCCAACAUCACCCACAGGUGGCAGAGGGGAUUCUAAGUCAGGCCAUCUGGACUCACAGCCCACAGUCUUUCAUGAGGGCUGCAUGCGGGCUUAGGAAACCAAGGCAGGCGAAUGGGUUCAGGCCAGGAGUUGGAAACAUGCCUGGGUAGGCAACACAGUGAGACCUCAUCUCUACAGAAAAUUUAAAAAUUAGCCAGGUGUGGUGGUGUGCACCUGUAGUCCCAGCUACUCGGGAAACUGAGGUGGGAGAAUUGCUUGAGCCUAGGAGGUGGAAGCUGCAGUGAGCUGUGAUCAUCAGCUGUGAUCAUGCCACUGCACUCCAGCCUGGGCAACAGAGCAAGACCCUGUCAAAAAAAAAAAAAAAAAAAGAGGCAGCCCUUGACCCACCCACAAACUUCUUUUUCUUUGCCCACAAGGGUUUUGUGUUGUUGUUGUUUUGGGGGUGGGGGUCGGUUUUUUAUUUUUGAGGCGGAGUCUUGCUCUGUUGCCCAGGCUGCAGUGCAGUAGCGCGAUCUCGGCUCACUACAACCUCCGCCUCCCGGGUUCAAUCGAUUCUUCUGCCUCAGCCUCCAGAGUAGCUGGGAUUACAGGCAUGUGCCACCACACCCAGCUAAUUUUUGUAUUUUUAGUAGAGACGAGGCUUUGCCAUGUUGGCCAGGCUGGUGUUUUGUUUUGCUUUUGAGAAAGGGUCUCGCUCUGUCGCCCAAGCUGGAGUGCAAUGGUGCGAUCACAGCCUACUGCAGCCUCGACCUCACAGGCUCAAGCGUUCCUCCCACCCCAGCCUCCCCAGUUAGGUUUCCGCAUGUUGCCCAGGCUGGUCUGGAACUCCUGGGCUCAGGUGAUCCACCCAUCUCGGCCUUCCGUGAUACUGGGAUUACAGACGUGAGCCACCACGCCCAGCUGUGGGGAGGAUUUUGACUAGUGAUAACGCUUAUGGCCAAAUAGACUCUUGGCCUCUCCCCAUCUUUUCUACCUCCAGCCACCAAGCCAGAUUCCCACUAUCCUUCACACUCAUUUUCUUCUCAAAAGAACAUUAUAGGCCGGUGUGGUGGCUCACACCUGUAAUCCCAGCAUUUUGGGAGGUCAAGGAGGAACGAUUGCUUGAGGUCUGGAAUUUGAGACCAGCCUGGGCAACAUAGUGAGACCCUGUCUCUACAAACAAACAAACAAAUAAAGAACAUUCCGGGGCUGGGCAUGGUGCCUCAUGACCAUAAUCCAGGCACUUUGGGAGGCCAAGGAGGGAGGAUCACUUGAGCCCAGGAGUUUGAGACCAACCUGGGCAACAUAAUGAGACCCCAUCUUUACUAAAAAAAGAAAAGAAAAGAAAAAAGAAGGAGAAGAAGGAGGAGGAGGAGGAGGAGGAAGAAGAAAAAAGAAGAAGGAGGAGGAGGAGGAGAAGAAGAGAACAUUCCAGGCUGGGCAUAGUGGCUCAUACCUGUAAUUCCAGCACUUUGGGAGGCUGAGGCAGGUGGAUCACCUGAGAUCAGUAGUUCGAAACCAGCCUGGUCAACAUGGUGAAACCCCGUCUCUACUAAAAAUACAAAAAAAAUUAGCCAGGCGUGGUGGUAGGUGCCUGUAAUCCCAGCUACUCAGGAGGCUGAGGCAGGAGAAUCACUUGAACGCAGGAGGUGGUGGUUGCAUUGAGCAGACAUUGGGCCACCACAUUCCAUCCUGGGUGACAGAGCGAGACUCCGUCUUAAAAAAAAAAAAAAAAAGAACAUUCCAGUACAUCUGGCCUCCGAGUAUCUACCCUGCAAUGGGCAGUCUGGACAUUGAUCAGUGAGUGAGAGGUGUGAGGUACAGGUGGGACCAUGAGCUAGCAGAGGGCUAGAGACUGCCCCUCUCUCAACUUCAUCAGUGUCAAGCAACAGGAAAUACUGACAAUAAUUAGUUAUACAAGUGAUAAUAGCUAACACUUAUUAGGCACUUACUAUAUGUCCAAUACUGCACUAAAUGACUUCCAGUGUGAUCUCAUUUAAUAAGUGUCUAAAGCAGCAUUUCUCAAACGUCUUUGAACUCGAUCUAUGGCCAGAAAAAUACCUUCCUUGUAACCUAAUAUGUAUUCACUAUACAUCAAUAAAAUUUCCACAAAAUAUUACUUUCCGUUGACUUCAUAAUUUUUUAAAAUUAUAUUUUGUUUUGUUUUUUUAAGAGGGAGUCUGGCUCAGCACCCAGGCUGGAGUGCAGUGGUGCAAUCUCGGCUCACUGCAACCACCGUCUCCCGGGUUCAAGUGAUUCUCCCAUCUCAGCCUCCUGAGUAGCUGGGAUUACAGGCACCGC